ACGCGGCUGGCUCUGUCGGUAGAGCGUGUGACUCUUGAUCUCAGGGUUGUAAGUUCGAGCCCCACGUUGGGUA
rnacentral:tRNA from 1 species